rnacentral:rRNA from 1 species
AAUCCGGUUGAUCCUGCCGGAGGCUACCGCUAUUGGAGUUCGAUUAAGCCAUGCGAGUCGUGAGUCCUAGGGACUCGGCGUACCGCUCAGUAACACGUGGGUAACCUGCCCUAUGCUGGGGAAUAACCUCGGGAAACUGAGAAUAAUGCCCCAUAGUUCACCACGCCUGGAACGGUGGGUGGAUGAAAGCUCCGGCGGCAUAGGAUGGGCCUGCGGCGUAUCAG